rnacentral:tRNA from 1 species
GAGGGUAUAGCUCAGUGAUACAGUGCUUGCUUAGCAUACAUGGUGUUCUGGAUUCAAUCCCCAGUACCUCCA